CGUGUAGGCGGCUUGGCAAGUCAGUUGUGAAAGCCCGGGGCUCAACCCCGGAAGUGCAAUUGAAACUGUCAGGCUUGAGUAUGGUAGAGGGAAGUGGAAUUCCUGGUGUAGCGGUGAAAUGCGUAGAUAUCAGGAGGAACACCGGUGGCGAAAGCGGCUUCCUGGACCAAUACUGACGCUGAGGCGCGAAGGUGUGGGUAGCAAACAGGAUUAGAUACCCUGGUAGUCC
rnacentral:rRNA from 1 species